rnacentral:lncRNA from 1 species
AUAGAGAGCUUGUCAUAAGGAAAUGGGUUUCUUGAUAAAGUGGAUAAUAAUACGGUUGUCCGAAUAUGGUCCAAGAAAACAUGAUAAGAGAAGGAUGGUAAUUUAAUAGAGGACUACACAACCAUUGCUCCGUUGCCUGAGAAUUCAAGAUGACAAAGAUUAUUUGAGAGCUGCUGAACUUUCUUAAAAGAGAAGCCAACGAGGAUCACGAGAUUGAGUGAGCAACGAGUCACGGCCCGGAUCAAGUAAAAAGGAGAUAGAAGCAACGUCCCUUUUGAAGAGUUCGUGAGACUUACCUUAACGCUCGAUUGAAGAAGAGGAUCGAAGGACUCCGCCUAUGAGGGCAAAAUUGUAUAUAUCCAUUUUAUGUAAAGAGAUUUGUUUUCUAGUAAAGUUGUUCUAAUAGAAUUGAAUCAAGAAUCAGCGUCUCUUUUUGCAUUCAUGCAUCUGCAUUACAUUUCAUUGCAUGCAUCUUUUC